rnacentral:tRNA from 1 species
GCCGGGGUGGCUCAGUCGGUUGAGCAUCUGACUUCGGCUCAGGUCACGAUCUCACGGUUCGUGAGUUCAAGCCCCGCCUUGGGCU